rnacentral:rRNA from 1 species
UGGGGAAUUUUGGACAAUGGGCGAAAGCCUGAUCCAGCAAUGCCGCGUGUGUGAAGAAGGCCUUCGGGUUGUAAAGCACUUUUGUCCGGAAAGAAAUCCUUGGCUCUAAUACAGUCGGGGGAUGACGGUACCGGAAGAAUAAGCACCGGCUAACUGCGUGCCAGCAGCCGCGGUAAUACGUAGGGUGCAAGCGUUAAUCGGAAUUACUGGGCGUAAAGCGUGCGCAGGCGGUUUGCUAAGACCGAUGUGAAAUCCCCGGGCUCAACCUGGGAACUGCAUUGGUGACUGGCAGGCUAGAGUAUGGCAGAGGGGGGUAGAAUUCCACGUGUAGCAGUGAAAUGCGUAGAGAUGUGGAGGAAUACCGAUGGCGAAGGCAGCCCCCUGGGCCAAUACUGACGCUCAUGCACGAAAGCGUGGGGAGCAAACAGGAUUAGAUACCCUGGUAGUCCACGCCCUAAACGAUGUCAACUAGUUGUUGGGGAUUCAUUUCCUUAGUAACGUAGCUAACGCGUGAAGUUGACCGCCUGGGGGAGUACGGUCGC